rnacentral:rRNA from 1 species
CCUACGGGAGGCAGCAGUGGGGAAUAUUGCACAAUGGGGGAACCCCGAAGCAGCAAGGGCGAGUGGGGGAAGAAGGACUCCGGUGCGGAAAGCCCUGUUAGCAGGGGAGAAAAUGACAGGACCUGACCAAGAAGCCCCGGCUAACUACGUGCCAGCAGCCGCGGUAAUACGUAGGGGGCAAGCGUUAUCCGGAUUUACUGGGUGGAAAGGGAGCGCAGGCGGUAUGGCAAGUCAGAUGGGAAAACCCAGGGCCCAACCCUGGGACUGCAUUUGAAACUGCCAUACUGGAGUGCCGGAGAGGUAAGUGGAAUUCCUAGUGUAGCGGUGAAAUGCGUAGAUAUUAGGAGGAACACCAGUGGCGAAGGCGGCUUACUGGACGGUAACUGACGCUGAGGCUCGAAAGCGUGGGGAGCAAACAGGAUUAGAUACCCGAGUAGUC